rnacentral:lncRNA from 1 species
UUGCUUUUCCAGGGCAGCCUUUUCUCGGCUUCAGAAGCCGGGCAAAUUAAAAUAACGUGCCCGCUUCCCCGCGGGUUGCGGGGCAGAGCUGCUGGCCUGCCACCGGCCCCUUUUGGGGGUUCUGGGUUUCUUUUCUUGCCCUCGGAUGACAUGACGUUAGUAAACGAUAUGUUUAAAAUUUUAUCUAAAGAAAUGAGACCCGGCUUCCUGAAAAUCGAGACCAAGCCCGUUUGGUACAACCACAACGCGGAGCUCUCCAGCGCUGGGAAGAGGCCCAAGGAGGCCCCGAGGUUCGCAGCCCCAGGCCCCCAGCCCACCCGGGACACCUCUCCCUGAGGAUCCAGGGCCCAAACCAAACAGCAAGUACAAUUCUGAGAACUGUGGAACUUCUUCCUUUCAUUUUAAGCUUCUCCUGCCUUUGCUUGAUGGAAUCGUGUGUCUCUGAUUCCACCUUCCCUUAUGAGAAGCUCCACAUCCCCUUCCAUCCCUGGCUCUCAAGUGCCGUAUAUCUACAAAAGUGAAGAUCUGCUCUAAGAUUGGCUGGUGAGGAAGUCGAGUCAGAAUGAAGCAACG